CAGCAGUAGCCGCGGUAAUACGUAGGUGGCAAGCGUUGUCCGGAAUUAUUGGGCGUAAAGGGCUCGCAGGCGGUUUCUUAAGUCUGAUGUGAAAGCCCCCGGCUCAACCGGGGAGGGUCAUUGGAAACUGGGAAACUUGAGUGCAGAAGAGGAGAGUGGAAUUCCACGUGUAGCGGUGAAAUGCGUAGAGAUGUGGAGGAACACCAGUGGCGAAGGCGACUCUCUGGUCUGUAACUGACGCUGAGGAGCGAAAGCGUGGGGAGCGAACAGGAUUAGAUACCCCAGUAGUCCCUGUCUCUUAUAC
rnacentral:rRNA from 1 species